AGCUUUUCUAUCUUUUUAAUUCUUCAAAUUUUCUUCUCUUUCUUGUGCCCAAUCUCUUGUCCAAGCUUGAUUAUCAAAGUUUUGUUGAGAGAGCUAUGAAUUUUAGGGUGAAAAUUUAAGGUUUGUAAGAGCUUUUAGGUUCAUCAAUGGUGGAAAGAAAAUAAAUAAAAGGGAGAGAGGAAGAAGAAAGUGCAGGCCAAAU
rnacentral:misc_RNA from 1 species